UACGGAGGAUCCAAGCGUUAUCCGGAUUCAUUGGGCGUAAAGGGUGCGUAGGCGGCGCGGUAAGUCGGGUGUGAAAUCUUGGAGCUUAACUCCGAAACUGCAUUCGAUACUGCCGUGCUUGAGGACUGGAGAGGAGACUGGAAUUUACGGUGUAGCGGUGAAAUGCGUAGAUAUCGUAAGGAAGACCAGUGGCGAAGGCGGUCUUCUGGAGCACUCUUGACGUGAGCGCGAAGCUGGGGGAGCGAACGGG
rnacentral:rRNA from 1 species